AGGAGAGGAGAGAGGAAGAGAGGAGAGGAGAGGAGAGGAGAGGGGGUUGUGUCUCGAUCCCCAUGGGAAAAACACCAUCAACAUCCUUGCCCAAAAUCGUCUACCUAGACAUCGAUGGAAGGGUGAGAAAGGUGAUUUUCAGUCAACACUCCAGCCCCACUGAUGUCCGUGACCUUGUGAAGAUCGCUGCAGGACUCCUCAGAGGUGCCGAGAUGUCCCUCGUUGACCAGAAUGGAUCGGCGGUGACUAUUGGCCCAGAGAUGCCGGUGAACGGACACAGGUAGGAAGCCAGCGGUUCUGUUUAGUUCAGAGAUACAGCA